rnacentral:piRNA from 1 species
UCACCAUUCUAAACUCUGUGACACUGGCCUG